rnacentral:misc_RNA from 1 species
AACGCACAUUGCGCCCCUUGGUAUUCCGAGGGGCAUGCCUGUUCGAGCGUCAUUACACCACUCAAGCCUCGCUUGGUAUUGGGCGCCGCGAUCCGUCGCGCGCCUCAAUGUCUCCGGCUGAGCUAUCCAUCUCUAAGCGUUGUGGCAUUUUGUUUCCGCUUGCGAGUAUAGAGCGUUCGCGCCGUUAAACAUUUUUACAAGGUUGACCUCGGAUCAGGUAGGGAUACCCGCUGAACUUAA